rnacentral:tRNA from 1 species
AGAAAUGAGCAACUAAUGCAUUUCGGUUUCGGCCCGAUUUCUUGAGGCAAGCCCUCACUUUUCUU